GUGCCUACGGGACGCAGCAGUAGGGAAUCUUCGGCAAUGGACGGAAGUCUGACCGAGCAACGCCGCGUGAGUGAAGAAGGUUUUCGGAUCGUAAAGCUCUGUUGUAAGAGAAGAACGAGUGUGAGAGUGGAAAGUUCACACUGUGACGGUAUCUUACCAGAAAGGGACGGCUAACUACGUGCCAGCAGCCGCGGUAAUACGUAGGUCCCGAGCGUUGUCCGGAUUUAUUGGGCGUAAAGCGAGCGCAGGCGGUUAGAUAAGUCUGAAGUUAAAGGCUGUGGCUUAACCAUAGUACGCUUUGGAAA
rnacentral:rRNA from 1 species